rnacentral:lncRNA from 1 species
UUUUUUUUUUUUGGUUAAUUCAACUGAUUCGAUCAGUAGUGUUAGUGCGAGUCAUUUUGGGGCCGCUGAGAAGGGCAUGGCAGGUUCGGGUCCAGCAUGUUUUGCGCGAGGUUAACCAAACUGCGGAUAGCGUAGGGAAAGCAGGAGUGAAUGCUCCUCCACCAGCUAGCUGUUCAAGUCGUUGUUGUUAUGCCUAACGUGGUUUGAAGGAUCGUGACCGAGAUGGGGAGCCUUAUCAUUGCGCUACUGCUGUUGAGGUUUAGUGGGCAUAUUUGCUUUUGGUUUCUUUCACUUCUUAUUCAAAAAACAAAAAAACAAAGACAAAAUAACUAUGAGAAAAUAUGUAUGGGUUUCUUUGCAGGUGAAUACAAGUGGGUUAAAUUUGACUUCACAUCUUUUCGGUUUCGAUUAAGUUGGUUAUCUAUAUUAUAUAAAAUGAUUACUUGAGUUUGUUUCAUUAAUAAACUCAAUAUUAAUUUAGUUGUGAAAUUACUAAAAUAUACUUAUUUUAGAAUAUAAUUUAUAUUAUUAUAAUGAAAUUUUAACCUUUUCAUAUUUUUAGAUAAUUUUCAAAUAAAAUAAUUAAAAAACAUAAUUUUGAAAGUCAAAUACAUGAGCAACAAAUUCGUGUGAAAAUCUCUUAUCACUCCACAAACAAUAAAUUGUUGAAAUAAUUUUGUAAAUAUAUAUAUUUAAUAUAAAACAUUUUGGUAGGUGUGAUACAUAUAUUAUUUUUAUUUAUUUUAAAUAUAUAAGUUAUAUAAUUAUUUUAAAUAUAAAAUGUAUUACUCUUAAUUUAUUUUAAACAAGAAAAGUGGAUUAAUCAAGUUAAACUGGUGGGGCUAAAUCAAUUACAACCAAAAUGGUUUGAUGAGUGAGUUAUUGGUAGAGGUUAAUGGAUAAAUGAAUUAUGUAUGAAAAGCCUACUAAACCAACCCUCAAACAACUUGUUAUUAGUGCACAACUUGACCAACCCUUUCAUGUUACAGAAUAACGAGACAAGAGACCUAAGAAAUUGCUUUCAAACAGCUUGGACCGACACCGACCACACAUUUUACAUUUACUUCAUAUAUUGAAUUACUCCUCUAAGACUCUAUUCUUCUUAUAGUUUCAUGGUGAGUGACGGCAUCCUCAACAACACAUGGCAGACACGUUGGGCAGUAGAUGGCACUUGGUGUUUUGGGUUUACAAGUUCCAACACGCCAGAGACAACAUGCAAUGAAUCUGGUGCAAGAUUCAGGGUCUUAGCUUGAUUCAUGCCAAAAUAUUCACUUGGGACAAUUACUAGUCUAAGAUCAACCAAUUAUUUGAAACAAGGCUGCAGAGUCUAUAGAGAGCAGCAGCAACCCUUCGGUUUUACCACUUGCUUAUGCCUUUCUUUGUUUUCUUACUCCCAUAACAUGACUCAAAUAUUCUAACUAAUGCGUAUCUUCAAAACUUAUCUCCAAAUCCUAUUUAUCUAUGAUCAUAAACUUAAAUUAUCACCACUACAAAGCUUUGGUGGUAUUUUAGACUGUAGAAUCAAAUGUCAAAAUUGAUGACCCCAAUGGACACUUUCAGGAGGUCUUCUAUUAGAUUUAGAUUUAGAAUGUUUGGAUACCCCAAUGGACAAUUAAGGUAUGUUAUCCAUAUUGCAAUACAUAAAUAGCAACAAACAUUUUUCCUCAUUAAUUAGUGUAAAUACUAUUAAGUAUGGGUCGAGUUUAAUCAAACAGUAAAUGUGAGAUAAUAAUAUUGAAAAGAGAUAAUGAAGGAAAGUUGCAGACAAAGAUGGUAACUUAAAGCAGCCCACUACCACAACAUUAACAGCACAACAUCUGAAAACAUCAGCAACAUACAAUGGAUCAAACAACAACAAAUCUGGGUUUUCAAUUUCCCAUCUAAAAACAAUCACAUAAACACACUGUUACAUUAACAACAAUAACCUUCAUCAUCAAACAAUGACUUCCCACCUCACAUAAAUCAAGCCACAGUCGAAUUCUCGGGCGGCGACGUCCAUAGGAUGUCUUUAAGCGCCGGCCGGAGCUCUUUACUGCAAAACUGAUUGUACUCGAAGGUGUCGCCAUGGUCCUUUUUAACUUCCACCACCAAGAACGACGGCGUCACCGCAAAUAUAUCGGCAGCAAUGGCAAGUUUACCUUUCCUCCCACAUUCUUGACCCUGCAACCUCACCCUACACUCGCUCUUUUUGACGCUGAAC